UAUCAGCUUGUUGGUGAGGUAAUGGCUCACCAAGGCGACGACGGGUAGCCGGCCUGAGAGGGUGACCGGCCACACUGGGACUGAGACACGGCCCAGACUCCUACGGGAGGCAGCAGUGGGGAAUAUUGCACAAUGGGCGCAAGCCUGAUGCAGCGACGCCGCGUGAGGGAUGACGGCCUUCGGGUUGUAAACCUCUUUCAGUAGGGAAGAAGCGAAAGUGACGGUACCUGCAAAGAAGCACCGGCUAACUACGUGCCAGCAGCCGCGGUAAUACGUAGGGUGCGAGCGUUAUCCGGAAUUAUUGGGCGUAAAGAGCUCGUAGGCGGUUUGUCGCGUCUGUCGUGAAAGUCCGGGGCUUAACCCGGAUCUGCGGUGGGUACGGGCAGACUAGAGUGCAGUAGGGGAGACUGGAAUUCCUGGUGUAGCGGUGGAAUGCGCAGAUAUCAGGAGGAACACCGAUGGCGAAGGCAGGUCUCUGGGCUGUAACUGACGCUGAGGAGCGAAAGCAUGGGGAGCGAACAGGAUUAGAUACCCUGGUAGUCCAUGCCGUAAACGUUGGGCACUAGGUGUGGGGACCAUUCCACGGUUUCGCGCCGCAGCUAACGCAUUAAGUGCCCCGCCUGGGGAGUACGGCCGCAAGGCUAAAACUCAAAGGAAUUGACGGGGGCCCGCACAAGCGGCGGAGCAUGCGGAUUAAUUCGAUGCAACGCGAAGAACCUUACCAAGGCUUGACAUGUCUCGAUCGCCGUAGAGAUACGGUUUCCCUUUCGGGGGCGGGUUCACAGGUGGUGCAUGGUUGUCGUCAGCUCGUGUCGUGAGAUGUUGGGUUAAGUCCCGCAACGAGCGCAACCCUCGUUCCAUGUUGCCAGCAUAAUGGUGGGGACUCAUGGGAGACUGCCGGGGUCAACUCGGAGGAAGGUGAGGACGACGUCAAAUCAUCAUGCCCCUUAUGUCUUGGGCUUCACGCAUG
rnacentral:rRNA from 1 species